rnacentral:rRNA from 1 species
AUUGAACGCUGGCGGCAUGCCUUACACAUGCAAGUCGAACGGUAACAGGUUAAGCUGACGAGUGGCGAACGGGUGAGUAAUGUAUCGGAACGUGCCCAGUCGUGGGGGAUAACUACUCGAAAGAGUGGCUAAUACCGCAUACGACCUGAGGGUGAAAGCGGGGGACCGUAAGGCCUCGCGCGAUUGGAGCGGCCGAUAUCAGAUUAGCUAGUUGGUGGGGUAAAAGCCCACCAAGGCGACGAUCUGUAGCUGGUCUGAGAGGACGACUAGCCACACUGGGACUGAGACACGGCCCAGACUCCUACGGGAGGCAGCAGUGGGGAAUUUUGGACAAUGGACGCAAGUCUGAUCCAGCCAUGCCGCGUGCGGGAAGAAGGCCUUCGGGUUGUAAACCGCUUUUGUCAGGGAAGAAACGAGUUUCUCUAAUACAGAGACUUAAUGACGGUACCUGAAGAGUAAGCACCGGCUAACUACGUGCCAGCCGCCGCCGUAAGAC